rnacentral:tRNA from 2 species
GGGCCUAUAGCUCAGCUGGCAGAGCAUCGGACUUUUAAUCCGCGGGUCGCGGGUUCGAUCCCCGCUGGGCCCAC